rnacentral:pre_miRNA from 1 species
UAUAAUUUUUAACUCUUUAUUUUAUUUAAAUUUUUUUUGUGAUUGAUAUUUUUGUUUUUAUUAGAUGAUAAAUCAUGAAUAGUACUUUACGUAUGACUAAUUUUUUUCUAAUUUUCUGAAAUUUUUUAAAUAAAACGGAUGGUCAAACGUUAGACAUGAAAACCGGAG